UUGGGAUUGGGAUCUGCUUAAACUGGAAAAGGAGAUGUACGGAGCUUUCCCCGAUUAGAGGAUUACAGAAGUACUGUGCCGGUCUUUUUAGUGAGCCUAAAUCUGCUCGUUUCUGGCUAUACUCGUUACAGCAGUGUGUUUGCCCAAGUAGAGCGAUCAUGCUGCUGAGACGUGGAAACUAAGAGUUCUAACGCAUAUAAGCCCUUCGGUGUACAGAUUCUGAUGAUGAAGAGGAUUUAAUGGUACUUGUAGUAUGACAAAUAACAACUAAAAAGUUGUGUCGGAUGUCUAAUGUACGAUUCAAGUGGUGGUUACUCGCAAAGCUGUAAGAGCAGUUUCCAGGAGAUAACCACGUGGAAGGAGGCUUUCGUUGAUGGACGAUCUAAAAAAAAACGAAGCUCCCCACCGCG